rnacentral:rRNA from 1 species
AACAAACGCUGGCGGCGUGCCUCAGACAUGCAAGUCGAACGAUUAAGACUUCCUUCGGGAAGUGCAUAAAGUGGCGCACGGGUGAGUAACACGUAAGUAAUCUACCCUCGAGUGGGGAAUAACGUUCGGAAACGAACGCUAAUACCGCAUAAUGCAGCGGCAUCGCAAGAUGACAGUUGUUAAAGGAGUAAUUCGCUUGAGGAGGAGCUUGCGGCAGAUUAGCUAGUUGGUAAGGUAACGGCUUACCAAGGCUACGAUCUGUAUCCGGUCUAAGAGGACGGUCGGACACACUGACACUGAAUAACGGGUCAGACUCCUACGGGAGGCAGCAGUCGGGAAUUUUGGGCAAUGGGCGAAAGCCUGACCCAGCAACGCCGCGUGAAGGAUGAAGUAUUUCGGUAUGUAAACUUCGAAAGAAUGGGAAGAAUAAAUGACGGUACCAUUUAUAAGCUCCGGCUAACUACGUGCCAGCCGCCGCGGUAAUAC